rnacentral:rRNA from 1 species
GACGAACGCUGGCGGCGUGCUUAAUACAUGCAAGUCGAACGGAAAGGCCCUGCUUUUGUUGGUUUCUCGAGUGGCGAACGGGUGUGUAACACGUGAGUAACCUGCCCUUGUCUUUGGGAUAUAUUCAGGAAACUGGGGCUAAUAUCGGAUAUGAGCUCCUGCUGCAUGGUGGGGGUUGGAAAGUUUCGGCGUUUGGGGAUGGACUCGAGGCUUAUGAGCUUGUUUGUGGAGUAGUGGCUUACCAAGGCUUUGACGGGUAGCCGGCCUGAGAGGGUAACCGGGGACAUGGGGACUGAGAGACGGCGCAGAAUCGUACGGGAGGCAGCAGUGGAGAAUAUUGCACAAUGGGGGGGAGCCAGAGACGGAGGCGGCGGGUGCGGGAUGACGGGCUUCGAGGUGUGAACAGCUUUCGAAUGUGAAGAAGAGUGAGUGACGGUAAUGGAUAAGGAAGCAACGGCUAAAUACGUG